GUCUACGGCCAUGCUACCCUGAACAAGCCCAAUCCCGUCUGAUCUCAGAAGCUAAGCAGCGUCAGGCCUGGUUAGUACUUGGAUGGGAGACCCCCUAGGAAGACCAGGUGCUGUAAGGC
rnacentral:rRNA from 1 species